rnacentral:misc_RNA from 1 species
AAGUCGUAACAAGGUCUCCGUUGGUGAACCAGCGGAGGGAUCAUUACAGAGUUGCAAAACUCCCAACCCUUUGCGAACGAACUAGACAGUUGCCUCGGCGGAGGGCCCUUCAGGGGGCUGUUCGCCGGAGGACCGCUAAACUCUUGUAAUUUUUGGCCUCUCUGAGUAAUUCUAUAAUGAAUCAAAACUUUCAACAACGGAUCUCUUGGUUCUG